rnacentral:lncRNA from 1 species
AGAACCCCCCACCCCUUCUCCAUGUCUCUACUCUCUUUUCUCUGGGCUUGCCUCCUUCACUAUGAGCAAGCUUCCACCUUCCAUUCCUCCUUCUUCUCCCUAGCCUGUGUUCUAGAAUUUUUUCAAUUAUUAUUCUUCAAAUGUUUCUUCUCUGCAUGAGCCAAAAUAGCUCAAAUGUUUCUUCUGUCCUCUUUCCUCUAUGUUCUCCUUCUGGUAUCUGUCAGGCCUCUGGGCCCAAGCUAAGCCAUCAUAUCCCCUGUGACCUGCACGUACACAUCCAGAUGGCUGGUUCCUGCCUUAACUGAUGGCAUUCCACCACAAAAGAAAUGAAAAUGGCCUGUUCCUGCCUUAACUGAUGGCAUUAUCUUGUGAAAUUCCUUCUCCUGGCUCAUCUUGGCUCAAAAGCUCCCCUACUGAGCACCUUGUGACCCCUACUCCUGUCUGCCAGAGAACAACCCCCCUUUUUCCUUUAUGUACCCAAAUCUUAUAAAACAGCCCCACCCCUAUCUCCCUUCGCUGACUCUCUUCGGACUCGGCCCGCCUGCACCCAGGUGAAAUAAACAGCCUUAUUGCUCACACAAAGCCUGUUUGGUGGUCUCUUCACAUGGAUGUGAGUGAAAUUUGGUGCCGUGACUCAGAUCAGCGGACCUCCCUUGGGAAAUCAAUACCCUGUCCUCCUGCUCUUUGCUCUGUGAGAAAGAUCCACCUACAACCUCUGGUCCUCAGACCAACCAGCCCAAGGAACAUCUCACCAAUUUUAAAUCCGGUAAGCGGCCACUUUUUACUGUCUUCUCCAACCUCUCUCACUAUCCCUCAACCUCUUUCUCCUUUCAAUCUUGGCGCCACACUUCAAUCUCUCCCUUCUCUCAAUUUCAAUUCCUUUCAUUUUCUGGUAGAGACAAAGAAGACACGUUUUAUCCGUGGACCCAAUACACCGGCGCUGGCCACAGACUGGGAAGGCAGCCUUCCCUUGGUGUUUAAUCAUUGCAGGGGCAUCUCUCUGAUUAUUCACCCAGGUUUCAGAGGUGCCAGACCAGGAAGGGAUGCCUGCCUUGGUCCUUCACCCUUAGCGGCAAGUCCCGCAUUUCUAGGGGAGGGGCAGGAAACCUGACCUCUUAUCUCUGUGCCCCAAUCCCAUAUUUCCAUGCCCCGACCUCUUAUCUCUGCUCCCUGAUCCCUUAUUUCUGUGCCCCGACCCCUUCUCUGCUUUUCUGGAGGGCAAGAACCCCCCACCCCUUCUCCAUGUCUCUACUCUCUUUUCUCUGGGCUUGCCUCCUUCACUAUGGGCAAGCUUCCACCACCUGUAGGAAGCCAGCCUCUAUUUGAGAAGUUCAUCUAUCCUGAGACUGUUGUGUUGUGGUUGCAGGAAGUUCAAGCUGCUAGAUGGACAGGUCAAAUGAAGAAACAGAUGCCUGACCACUACUAAGCUGUAACUGAUACUGCAGUUGAGAUACAAGAUGUGAAUCUAAAAGAAAUCACCUCGGAUGUCUAGCCCUGUCCUCAAAUAAUUUCAGCUCGGCUGUCUCAUGACUACAACCAUACAAGAAACCCCAAGUAAGGAAAGCCCCACUGAGCUCAGGCAGCACAGAAAACCAAGAAAGAUGAAAAUAAAUCAUUGAUUUGAGCCAUUUUCAGUCUACCACUAAUAGCCAGAAAAUAAUAAUCAUAAAACAAACAAAAAUGUGCUGAUGAUUUAGUAUAUUGCAAACAUGAGAAGGACUUUGUAAACAUUUACUUGUUCAAUUUCCCAGCAAUAUAUGACAUAAACAUCAUAAAUUUUAUCUUUAAGAUAUAUAAUAAAUGUAAGUUCAGGAAGUCUUGGCAACUUGCUGGAGGACGUAGAAUUGGGCUUUGAAUUCAGGUCAAUCUGUAUCUAAUUCUGCUUUUAAUCCCUUACCUAUUAAAGUUUCAAUAGCAAUGUCCUUUAACAGAAUUUAUAUUUUUCAAAGAUAUGUGAAUCUAAAAGUUCAUAGAUGGUUGCUGGGCAAAGUGGUUCAUGCCUGUAAUCCCAACACUUUGGAAGGCCAAGGCAGGAAGAUUGCUUAAGGCCAGGAGUUUGAGACCAGCCUGGGCAACAUAACAAGACCUUGUCUCUACAACAAGUACAAAAAAAUAAUUAGCUGGACAUGGUGGUGUUCACCUGUAGUCCUAGCUACUGGGGAGGCUGAGGCAGGAGGAUCAUUUGAGGCCAGGAGUAUGAGGUUACAGUGAGCUAUGAUAGCACUACUGCACUCCAGCCUAGGUGACAGGGUGAGACACUGUCUCAAUAAAAAAAUAAAAUAAUGAAAGUUUAUGGAUAGGAAAUACAUUUCUAUGGUAUCAGGUUUUAUAUUUUUACUUUUAAAGUGGUGUAUUUUUCAGUCAUGCAGAGCAGGAAAUGAAUCUGUGAACAAGCAAUAAUGUCACUCACAGAUAUUAUAGAAGCAAGUGCUUAUAUAAAUCACUUUUCUAAAUGUUUUAUACGUAUCUCACCUAAUUCUCCUAACACUCCUAUCAUCGGAACUAUUAUUAGUCACAUUUUAGAGAUAAGCAUUUGAGGCAUAGAAGGAUUUAAUACCUCGCCCAGUUAGUAAGUGGCAGAGUCAGGCUCUGAACACAGGAAACCCGGCUAUAAAGAAGCUUUAACUUAAGUAGCAUAUACCUUGCUGUGUAAAUAUAUUGUAAUGCUAAUAUUUUUAAAAAAUUCUGACUCUUUGAAAGUUGAUUGAGACCAUCACCAAAUACUAGUAUUAAUCUUUUGUAAUUCUUGUACUCACAGCAGCCAACAUAUGGAAACAACCUAAAUGUCUGUCGACAGGUGAAUGAAUAAAGAAAAUGUGGUAUAUACAUACAGCAGAAUAUUGUUCAGUCUUAAAAAAGAAGGAAACCUUACAAUAUGCAGCAUCAUGAAUGAACAUGGAGGACAUUAUGCUAAAUGAAAUAAGCCAGUCACAGAAGGAACAGACACUGCCUGAUUCCAAUCGUAGGAGAUAACUAGUAUUGUCAAAUUUAUAAAAUUGACAAGAGAAUGGUAGUUGCUAGUGGGUGAGCAGAGGGGAAGAUGAGGAGUUAUUGUUGAAUGUGUAUAAAGUUUUAAUUAUGCAAGAUGAGUAAGUUCUAGCGAUCUAUUGUACAACCUUGUGCCUAUAGUUAACAAUGAUGUAUUGUGGAUGUAAAAAUUUGUUAAAGAGGAUACAUCUCAUAUUGUUUUCUUACCACAGUAAAAAAAAAAAGAAACAAAUAAACAAGAAUGUAUAUAGUACUGAAAACUGUAUGUCUGAUGAUUAAAAAUUAAGAAUAUCCUCAAUACCACAUAAUUUACACAAUAGAUACAAAAGGUGUUGGCAACAAAGCAUGUCUGUCAACUUGGCUUAAAUUUUAAUCAUAAUCUCUCAAAGUCUUGAGAGAAGGCUAUGUUUUGUUCGUGUCAUUGUUAUUGUUGUUGUUUGACUCUAAAGAAUAAAUGAGAUCUUGGUAAAUUUUUGUUAUAUGCAAUACGUAUCUAAGGAACUACAAAAAUCAACUUCUAUUACUCUUGCCUAAU